rnacentral:rRNA from 1 species
UACGUAGGGGGCUAGCGUUGUUCGGAUUUACUGGGCGUAAAGCGCACGUAGGCGGAUUGGUCAGUUAGGGGUGAAAUCCUGGAGCUCAACUCCAGAACUGCCUUUAAUACUGCCAGUCUCGAGUCCGGAAGAGGUAAGUGGAACUCCUAGUGUAGAGGUGGAAUUCGUAGAUAUCUGGAGGAACACCGGUGGCGAAGGCGGCGUUCUGGACUGGUCUCUGACACUGAAGAACGAAAGCCAGGGGAGCAAACGGG